rnacentral:rRNA from 1 species
AUUGAACGCUGGCGGCAGGCCUAACACAUGCAAGUCGAACGAGGGGCGGACGGGUGAGUAAUGUCUGGGAAACUGCCUGAUGGAGGGGGAUAACUACUGGAAACGGUAGCUAAUACCGCAUACCAUCGGAUGUGCCCAGAUGGGAUUAGCUAGGAGGUGGGGUAAAGGCUCACAUAGGCGACGAUCCCUAGCUGGUCUGAGAGGAUGAACAGCCACACUGGAACUGAGACACGGUCCAGACGCCUACGGUAGGCAGCAGUGGGGAAUAUUGCACAAUGGGCGCAAGCCGGAUGCAGCCAUGCCGCGUGUAUGAAGAAGGCCCUCGGGUUGUAAAGUACUUUCAGCGGGGAGGCGUUACCGACAGAAGAAGCACCGGCUAACUCCGUGCCAGCAGCCGCGGUAAUAC